rfam:Hordeum vulgare subsp. vulgare, WGS project CAJW01000000 data, contig: morex_contig_1573105
AGGCAGCCCCUUUGUCCGAUUCAAUGGCAAUGGAGGUGUUGCGUUGCUCGGAGACUAAAUCUUCUGCUCUUCAGAUUAGCUGAGGGGGAGGCACUGCUUCCCUCCUUGAAGCUGGUCUAGUAGUCUUAAGGACAUC